UCGAGAAUUUUUCUCAAUGGGCGAAAGCCUGAAGGAGCGACGCCGCGUGGGGGAUGAAUGGCUUCGGCCCGUAAACCCCUGUCAUUUGCGAACAAACCCUGGCAUUUAAAAGAUGCCGGGCUGAUUGUAGCGGAAGAGGAAGGGACGGCUAACUCUGUGCCAGCAGCCGCGGUAAUACAGAGGUCCCAAGCGUUGUUCGGAUUCACUGGGCGUAAAGGGUGCGUAGGCGGCCAGAAAAGUUUGAUGUGAAAUCUCCGGGCUUAACCCGGAAAAUGCAUUGAAUACUGUCUGGCUCGAGGAUUGGAGGGGAGACUGGAAUACUUGGUGUAGCAGUGAAAUGCGUAGAUAUCAAGUGGAACACCAGUGGCGAAGGCGAGUCUCUGGACAAUUCCUGACGCUGAGGCACGAAAGCCAGGGGAGCAAACGGGAUUAGAUACCCCCGUAGUCC
rnacentral:rRNA from 1 species